UGGGGAAUAUUGCACAAUGGGCGCAAGCCUGAUGCAGCGACGCCGCGUGAGGGAUGGAGGCCUUCGGGUUGUAAACCUCUUUCGCCAGUGAAGCAGGCCAUCUUCUUUGUGGGGUGGUUGACGGUAGCUGGAUAAGAAGCGCCGGCUAACUACGUGCCAGCAGCCGCGGUAAUACGUAGGGCGCGAGCGUUGUCCGGAAUUAUUGGGCGUAAAGAGCUCGUAGGCGGCUGGUCGCGUCUGUCGUGAAAUCCCCUGGCUUAACUGGGAGCUUGCGGUGGGUACGGGCCGGCUUGAGUGCGGUAGGGGAGACUGGAAUUCCUGGUGUAGCGGUGGAAUGCGCAGAUAUCAGGAGGAACACCGGUGGCGAAGGCGGGUCUCUGGGCCGUUACUGACGCUGAGGAGCGAAAGCGUGGGGAGCGAACAGG
rnacentral:rRNA from 1 species